rnacentral:rRNA from 1 species
CUACGUGCCAGCAGCCGCGGUAAUACGUAGGGCGCGAGCGUUGUCCGGAAUUAUUGGGCGUAAAGAGCUUGUAGGCGGUUUGUCGCGUCUGCUGUGAAAGGCCGGGGCUUAACCCCGUGUAUUGCAGUGGGUACGGGCAGACUAGAGUGCAGUAGGGGAGACUGGAAUUCCUGGUGUAGCGGUGGAAUGCGCAGAUAUCAGGAGGAACACCGAUGGCGAGGGCAGGUCUCUGGGCUGUAACUGACGCUGAGAAGCGAAAGCAUGGGGAGCGAACAGGAUUAGAUACCCUGGUAGUCCAUGCCGUAAACGUUGGGCACUAGGUGUGGGGGACAUUCCACGUUUUCCGCGCCGUAGCUAACGCAUUAAGUGCCCCGCCUGGGGAGUACGGCCGCAAGGCUAAAACUCAAAGGAAUUGACGGGGACCCGCACAAGCGGUGGAUGAUGUGGAUUAAUUCGAUGCAACGCGAAGAACCUUACCUGGUCUUGACAU